rnacentral:tRNA from 1 species
GCCGGGAUAGCUCAGUUGGUAGAACAUAGGACUGAAAAUC